GCUUACGGCCAUACCACCUUGGGCACGCCCGAUCUCGUCUAAUCUCGGAAGUUAAGCAGGGUCGGGCCUGGUUAGUA
rnacentral:rRNA from 10 species